GAGAUGUACCCAAGUGGUUGAAGGGUCCGGAUUCGAAAUCCGGUAGGCGCCGCAAGGUGUGCGGGGGUUCGAAUCCCUCCAUCUCC
rnacentral:tRNA from 1 species